rnacentral:rRNA from 1 species
AACGAACGCUGGCGGCAGGCUUAACACAUGCAAGUCGAACGGAUCCUUCGGGAUUAGUGGCAGACGGGUGAGUAACGCGUGGGAACGUACCCUUUGCUACGGAAUAACUCGGGGAAACUUGAGCUAAUACCGUAUGUGCCCUACGGGGGAAAGAUUUAUCGGCAAAGGAUCGGCCCGCGUUGGAUUAGCUAGUUGGUGGGGUAAUGGCCUACCAAGGCGACGAUCCAUAGCUGGUCUGAGAGGAUGAUCAGCCACACUGGGACUGAGACACGGCCCAGACUCCUACGGGAGGCAGCAGUGGGGAAUAUUGGACACUGGGCGCAAGCCUGAUCCAGCCAUGCCGCGUGAGUGAUGAAGGUCUUAGGAUUGUAAAGCUCUUUCACCGGUGAAGAUAAUGACGGUAGCCGGAGAAGAAGCCCCGGCUAACUUCGUG